rnacentral:rRNA from 1 species
GAUGAACGCUGACAGAAUGCUUAACACAUGCAAGUCAACUUGAACUUCGGUUUGGGUGGCGGACGGGUGAGUAACGCGUACAGAACUUGCCUCACAGUUAGGGACAACAUUUGGAAACGAAUGCUAAUACCUGAUAUUAUGAUUUUAGGGCAUCCUAGAAUUAUGAAAGCUAUAUGCGCUGUGAGAGAGCUUUGCGUCCCAUUAGCUAGUUGGAGAGGUAACGGCUCACCAAGGCGAUGAUGGGUAGCCGGCCUGAGAGGGUGAACGGCCACAAGGGGACUGAGACACGGCCCUUACUCCUACGGGAGGCAGCAGUGGGGAAUAUUGGACAAUGGACCAAGAGUCUGAUCCAGCAAUUCUGUGUGAACGAUGAAGUUUUUCGGAAUGUAAAGUGCUUUCAGUUGGGAAGAAAAAAAUGACGGUACCAACAGAAGAAGUGACGGCUAAAUACGUG